rnacentral:rRNA from 1 species
AAUGAACGUUGGCGGCGUGGAUUAGGCAUGCAAGUCGUGCGGAAAGGCUCCUUCGGGAGUACUCGAGCGGCGUAAGGGAGAGUAACGCGUGGAUAUCUACCCCCUGGACUGGGAUAGCGGCGGGAAACUGCCGGUAAUACCAGAUAAUGUCUGCGGACCAAAGGUGUGAUUCCGCCGGGGGAUGAGUUCGCGUCCUAUUAGCUAGUUGGUAGGGUAAUGGCCUACCAAGGCAAAGAUGGGUAACGGGUGUGAGAGCAUGGCCCGGCUCACUGGGACUGGGACACUGACCAGACACCUACGGGUGGCUGCAGUCGAGAAUCUUCGGCAAUGGGCGCAAGCCUGACCGAGCGACGCCGCGUGCGGGAUGAAGGCCUUCGGGUUGUAAACCGCUGUCAGAGGGGAGGAAAUGCGUGAGAGUUCUCUCUCACGUUUGACCUAUCCUCAGAGGAAGUACGGGCUAAGUUCGUGCCAGCAGCCGCGGUAA